rnacentral:rRNA from 1 species
AGGACGAACGCUGGCGGCGUGCCUAACACAUGCAAGUCGAACGGAGUUGAGGAGCUUGCUCCUUAACUAGUGGCGGACGGGUGAGUAACGCGUGAGUAACCUGCCUCUGAGAGGGGAAUAACGUUCUGAAAAGAACGCUAAUACCGCAUGACACAUAUUUGCCGCAUGACAGAUAUGUCAAAGAUUUUUAUCGCUCAGAGAUGGACUCGCGUCCGAUUAGUUAGUUGGUGAGGUAACGGCUCACCAAGACCGCGAUCGGUAGCCGGACUGAGAGGUUGAACGGCCACAUUGGGACUGAGACACGGCCCAGACUCCUACGGGAGGCAGCAGUGGGGGAUAUUGCGCAAUGGGGGCAACCCUGACGCAGCAACGCCGCGUGAAGGAUGAAGGUUUUCGGAUUGUAAACUUCUUUUCUCAGGGACGAAAUCUGACGGUACCUGAGGAAUAAGCUCCGGCUAACUACGUGCCAGCCGCCGC